CUGCUACUCUCCCUAGGAGUGGCCGUCCUGUAAAGAUGACUGCAAGAGCAAACAGAAUAUUGUCUGCUCUGCCAAAAAUAAAAUGGACUCACUUUUAUUUAUCCUUGGUGGCCCACCAUCACCAAAAACGGUUCCUGUAACCUAACUUAUUUAUGAUACCGGAGAAACUGACGGAAGCAAAGCACAGAGGGAUGGACACAGGUUUCUUCAGGAAGGAAGAGAUUCUUUAUUGGAUCACCG